GAGGGUAUAGCUCAGUGGGUAGAAUACAUGCCUAGCAUGCACAAGGUCCUGGGUUCAAUCCCCAGUACCUCUA
rnacentral:tRNA from 1 species